GACGAACGCUGGCGGCGUGCUUAACACAUGCAAGUCGAACGGAAAGGCCCGGCAUUUGUGGGGUGCGCGAGUGGCGAGCGCGGGAGUAACACGUGAGUAGCCUGCCCUUUACUGUGGGAUAACUUCAGUGGACUGGAGCGAAUACCGGAUAGAAGCUCCUUAUACAUGAGGGGGGUGGGUGAGAUUCGGCGGUUGGGGAUGGACUGGCGGCUUAGCAGCGUGUUGGUGGGGUAGUGGAGUACCAAGGCUUUGACGGGUAGCCGGCCUGAGAGGGUGACAGGCCACAUUGGCACUGAGAUACGGCCAAGACUGAUACGGGAGGCAGCAGUGGGGAACAUUGCAAGAUGGGCGGAAGCCUGAUGCAGCAACUCCGCGUCCGAGAUCACGGCCUUUGGGUUGUAACCCGCUUUCGCCUGUAAAGAAGAGUGAGUGACGGUAAUGGGUAAAGAAGCAACGGCUAACUACGUG
rnacentral:rRNA from 1 species